rnacentral:rRNA from 1 species
CGGGGUGCAGCAGGCGCGAAAACUUUACAAUGCCGGCAACGGCGAUAAGGGGACCUCGAGUGCCAGGUUACAAAUCUGGCUGUCGAGAUGCCUAAAAAGCAUUUCAUAGCAAGGGCCGGGCAAGACCGGUGCCAGCCGCCGCGGUAACACCGGCGGCUCGAGUGGUAACCGUUAUUAUUGGGUCUAAAGGGUCUGUAGCCGGCCGGAUAAGUCUCUUGGGAAAUCCAGCAGCUCAACUGUUGGGCUUUCAGGAGAUACUGUCUGGCUCGAGGCCGGGAGAGGUGAGAGGUACUUCAGGGGUAGGGGUGAAAUCUUGUAAUCCUUGAAGGACCACCAGUGGCGAAGGCGUCUCACCAGAACGGACCUGACGGCAAGGGACGAAAGCUAGGGGCACGAACCGGAUUAGAUACCCGGGUAGUCCUAGCCGUAAACGAUACUCGCUAGGUGUCGGCCACGGUGCGACCGUUGUCGGUGCCGUAGGGAAGCCGUGAAGCGAGCCACCUGGGAAGUACGGCCGCAAGGCUGAAACUUAAAGGAAUUGGCGGGGGAGCACAAGGGCGA